GCAUCCUCUGCCCGGUCCCCUCUGAUCUCGGAAGCUAAGCAGGGUCGGGCCUGGUUAGUACUUGGAUAGGAGACCACCUAGGAGGACCAGGU
rnacentral:rRNA from 1 species